rnacentral:rRNA from 1 species
GCUGACGUUGGGACAGCAGUGGCGGGAAUAAGUGGGGGCGUUGCGUGAAGCGGGAUUACUUGGCGUAAGUAGAUCGCAGGCGGUGUGUUAAGCGAGAUGUGAAAGCCCUGGGCUCAACCUAGGAAUAGCAUUUCGAACUGGCGAAAUAGAGUCUUGUAGAGGGGGGUAGAAUUCCAGGUGUAGCGGUGAAAUGCGUAGAGAUCUGGAGGAAUACCGGUGGCGAAGGCGGCCCCCUGGACAAAGACUGACGCUCAUGCACGAAAGCGUGGGGAACAAACAGGAUUAGAUACCCGGGUAGUC